rnacentral:rRNA from 1 species
AUUGAACGCUGGCGGCAUGCUUUACACAUGCAAGUCGAACGGCAGCGCGGGCUUCGGCCUGGCGGCGAGUGGCGAGCGGGUGAGUAAUACAUCGGAACGUGCCCAGUAGUGGGGGAUAGCUCGGCGAAAUCCGGAUUAAUACCGCAUACGACCUGAGGGUGAAAGCGGGGGAUCUUCGGACCUCGCGCUAUUUUAUCGGCCGAUGGCAGAUUAGCUAGUUGGUGGGGUAAAGGCCUACCAAGGCGACGAUCUGUAGCUGGUCUGAGAGGACGACCAGCCACACUGGGACUGAGACACGGCCCAGACUCCUACGGGAGGCAGCAGUGGGGAAUUUUGGACAAUGGGCGAAAGCAUGAUCCAGCAAUGCCGCGUGUGUGAUGAAGGCCUUCGGGUUGUAAAGCACUUUUGGCGGGAACGAAAAGGACUGUGCCAAUACCACGGUUCGAUGACGGUACCCGCAGAAUAAGCACCGGCUAACUACGUG